AUGAGGCCUAAAAUUGAAAUUAAUUGUGUAUCCGCUUCCUUUAAUCAAGCAAUCAGGAGGCUUUAUUGUCUGUCGGGGGAGGAGGGGAGGCCCCAAACACCGUGGGACCCCUGUGUGGCCCCUGGGCAGGGCUCUAGGACAAAAGGCUCUCUCCAAGCUUGGGAAGCACCCCUGGUCCCCAGCAGCCUGCAGCAGCCUUUUAUUCCAACCUGUCUGGAAUUCUCAGAACCACCAACCUGUCCUGGCGCAGGCAUUGAUCAAAUGGGGCAGUGGCACUUCCGGGGUGGGGACUCCCCAGCAAGUCCAGCGUGAAGAUCAGAGCCACAGCACGCUGCAGGUGGCCGGCCUCCAGCCUCCAGCCUCCUCUCCCAAGGCUUCAGGAGGAACCAGCCCUGGCUGCUCCACAGUCUUCCUUGGCUUCCCGUCUUCCUCCCCUUUCCUCCCCACCACCCCCUUCAGCUUUGCUCCCCUGCCUUCUUGCUUUCCACCAGCGCCUGGGGGUCUGGGGGUCUGGGGGUCUGGGUGUCGGUGCUGCUCCGCGUCCACUCUGGGCGGCUCCUAGGCUCCAAGGAGAGAAGACACCAGGCUCGUCCUUAGGACGCUCGCUUGCCAAGGCCCCAAGCAGGGAUGACAGGUAGACCCAUGGCGCAUAUUUGCUGCAGAAGGAAGUAGUUCUGUAUGAGAGGGUUAAGCAAGAUGCAGAGGAAGGGCCAAAGCAGAAGCGGUUCUAAGUGGAGGGAUCAGGGAAGACAUUGGGGGGUGGUGUGGGAAGGGAUCUGGGAAAGAAGGGGCCGGUGGUUGGUCCCCCUCCAGGCUGAAGGAGGCCCCACUGUGCCUGGCGUGUGCUGGAGAAGCCCGGAGCCCAGCUCCGGAUUGGACUCGGCGCCAGGAGCCGAGAAUUAGGGUCUGUUCUGAACAAGAAGAGGAGCAAGCAUGGUCUUGGCUGCCUUCCACGGCUGACGUUUACUGCUCACAGCACGCGAGGUAGGUGCUGUCCUCAUCCAUGGUUUCUAGAGGCGGCAGUGGUACCAGGGGUUCAGGGAUAGUCCUGGUCACGUAGCAGGACAGCAGCUGAGGGGGGAUUUCAAUCCACGCCUGGGCUCUGAGCCCCUGGAUGCCACUGCCUCUUGGGAGGGGGCCCUGAAUGCCAGCUCAAAGCUGCUGUGCUGC
rnacentral:lncRNA from 12 species